GUGAUUGUUGUUUGGAAUGGCGAAACCAGAAUCAUUAUUAGUGUUAUUCAGCUCGCCAAAGUGCAGGAUUCUCGCGCUAUUAGCAUUACAAUUACAAUGGACAGUGUGCAUGUUUGGAUUAAGAUCUGGAUCACUUCUCCUGCUUGAAAACUAUAGGAGGUUGGUUCGAGCAUCAAUACAUGCCCUUUGAUCCCGCUGCUGCCCCUGGGUCAGCGAGUGGCAAGCUUGAGCACGCGGCGUCUGGUCGGCUCUAGGGACCUGUAGCCACAGAGUUUGCUGAAGUCCCGCCCAACAGAUGCUCGCGGCCCAGCAUUCCCGCCGCGAACUUCCUGUUGAUCAGCCGUCCUUCCUAAGUUUUUUUUUGCAACUGGACCGUGCAUCAUUAUGUUUGUUCUCAACCCAGUUAGCCUAUUCAUGUGAUGAUCUCCAAGCCCAUAUCAGCAUGACACCAAAGGUUCAGUUUUAUACAACUUCAGAGUUGUGGCCAUUUUGCUGUGAGCUGUAGCACUUGAGCAUUGGUUCUAAGAAGUAUUUGUGCAGUAAUACGAUAUUGAUUGUA